UAGAAUUACAUUAUCUGCACCAAAGAUGGACAACUGGAAAAGCAUGACAGAUGCUGGGAUGCUGGGAGUUAUAGCUGACUGACACCUAGAGGGCAGCACUGUGGCUCAUUGCCACUACACUGAGUCAUUUCAUCAGUGCUACUUGACCUCAAGAAGACAGAUGAUAUUUCCUGAAGGAAAAACAUGGAGUGAAAGUGCAAGUCAAGCACUGCUACUGCCUAAUAAACAUUCUUUUGCAAUAA